AGCACAAGCCAGGAAUGGAAAGACUGGUGCAAGCGUAGGAGGUGAAUGGUUGGCAAAUCCGCCAUUCAAGCCAAAGACGUGAUGCGUAGCGAAAUAAAAGUAGUGAAGUGUGUGAGCCGGCUGCCAAGAAAAGCCGCUAUUGUUUCAUAUGAGCCCGUACCGUAAACCGACACAGGUGGAUGAGGAGAGAAUCCUAAGGCCGACGGAAGAAGCAUUGUUAAGGAAUUCGGCAAAAUGACCCCGUAACUUCGGGAGAAGGGGUGCCUCGCAAGAGGCCGCAGAGAAUAGGCUCAAGCAACUGUUUAGCAAAAACACAGGUCUAUGCGAAACCGUAAGGUGAAGUAUAUGGGCUGACGCCUGCCCGGUGCUGGAAGGUUAAGAGGAGAGGUUAGCUUCGGCGAAGCUUUGAAUUGAAGCCCCAGUAAACGGCGGCCGUAACUAUAACGGUCCUAAGGUAGCGAAAUUCCUUGUCGGGUAAGUUCCGACCCGCACGAAAGGCGUAAUGAUUUGAGCACUGUCUCGACAAUGCAUCCGGUGAAAUUGAAGUACCAGUGAAGAUGCUGGUUACCCGCGCCAGGACGGAAAGACCCCAUGGAGCUUUACUCCAGUUUAGUACUGGGAUUCGGUACUGCAUGUACAGGAUAGGUGGGAGACUAAGAAGCAAGGACGCCAGUCUUUGUGGAGUCAAUGUUGGGAUACCACCCUUGUAGUAUUGGGUUUCUAACCAGUCACCGUGAUCCGGUGAUGGGACAAUGCUAGGCGGGGAGUUUGACUGGGGCGGUCGCCUCCGAAAGGGUAUCGGAGGCGCUCAAAGGUUCCCUCAGAAUGGUUGGAAACCAUUUGAAGAGUGCAAAGGCAGAAGGGAGCUUGACUGUGACACCGACGGGUGGAGCAGGUACGAAAGUAGGACUUAGUGAUCCGGUGGUAUAACGUGGGAUUGCCAUCGCUCAACGGAUAAAAGCUACCCUGGGGAUAACAGGCUUAUCACUCCCAAGAGUUCACAUCGACGGAGUGGUUUGGCACCUCGAUGUCGGCUCAUCGCAUCCUGGGGCUGUAGCAGGUCCCAAGGGUUGGGCUGUUCGCCCAUUAAAGCGGUACGCGAGCUGGGUUCAGAACGUCGUGAGACAGUUCGGUCCCUAUCCGGCGCGGGCGGAGGAUAUUUGAGAGGAGCUGCCCCUAGUACGAGAGGACCGGGGUGGACGGACCACUGGUGUAUCAGCUGUCUACCAAAGGCAUAGCUGGGUAGCCAAGUCUGGACUGGAUAAACGCUGAAGGCAUCUAAGCGUGAAGCCAACCUCAAGAUGAGAUAUCCCCUCCUUU
rnacentral:rRNA from 1 species